UACGUAGGGUGCGAGCGUUGUCCGGAAUUAUUGGGCGUAAAGAGCUCGUAGGCGGUCUGUCGCGUCGAUCGUGAAAACUUGGGGCUUAACCCUGAGCUUGCGGUCGAUACGGGCAUGACUGGAGUUCGGCAGGGGAGACUGGAAUUCCUGGUGUAGCGGUGAAAUGCGCAGAUAUCAGGAGGAACACCAGCGGCGAAGGCGGCGCUCUGGGCUGGAACUGACGCUGAGGAGCGAAAGCGUGGGGAGCGAACAGG
rnacentral:rRNA from 1 species